rnacentral:rRNA from 1 species
UACGAAGGGGGCUAGCGUUGUUCGGAAUUACUGGGCGUAAAGCGCACGUAGGCGGAUGUCUAAGUCGGGGGUGAAAGCCUUGGGCUCAACCCAAGAAUUGCCUUCGAUACUGGAUAUCUUGAGACCGGGAGAGGUGAGUGGAAUUCCGAGUGUAGAGGUGAAAUUCGUAGAUAUUCGGAAGAACACCAGUGGCGAAGGCGGCUCACUGGCCCGGUUCUGACGCUGAGGUGCGAAAGCGUGGGGAGCAAACAGG